AUGGGUUUGUUCUGCUUGGCCCUAGGAGACCGAACAAGACCCACUGGGGAGAAGUUGCAAAGGAGUAAAUUUCAGCAUGCACACGUGGAGCUGUCCAAGAGUGGGAUGAGUUGCUGGAAACACAAGGGCAGGAUGGAUCUGUCAGAAAGAAGGUCAGGGAUACUGGUAGGGUUGGACAUGCCAAGAAGGCAUGCCAGGACUGGAGAGAGGAGCUCUUGCUUCCCAGGCUGCAACAUUCAGAUGUCAGAAGUCAAGGAAGGUAUUCAGCAUGCAGGGUGGAUGUCCAGUGAUGAACUUAAAAGAAGAGAGAGGACAAGAAGAACCCAGGAAAGGGAAGCUUGAGUGGUUAUGAUCUGCCUUGUCAAAAAAGACAUCAGCAUCAUUGAGACUCCAUCUGAGUAACAAUAACUGAGAUUUAUAUGGCACUUAAAAGUUUGCAAAGCACUCUCCAUGAUCUCUUACAUUUGACCAUCACAACAACUCUAGGAGGUAAAAGCUAUGGGCAUUAUACCCAUUUUAUAAGUGAGGAAGCUAAGAUUGAGAUAAGGGUCUCUCAGCUAGGGACUGUCUGGAGCAAAACUUAAACUCAUGUUCAGGAAUCCAAGUCCUGUGCUAUAUGUCUAUCUUCCAUUUGAUGACCCUUCAAAUACCCUGGCUUCCUCAACGACCAUGGCCUCUAUCUCUAAGGGGGUGGUCAAACUUUGGACUUCAAUCACUCAAAACCAUUCCAUAUCCAAGAUCUUGAACUCUGAAAUUUCCCUCACAAUUACAAACUACUAUCCUUCUCCUUUCCCCUUGUCUCUCUCUCCUCCUAAAACUGUUUUUUGUCUUUAGGAAGAAUUUUGGUCCCUCAAUCCUUCCGCAUCUAUUCUUCCUUGUUUUCCCAGUUCAUUGUUUUAGCCUUACUUUCCACCUUCCACAGUCUAGACCCUAUCUCUAGCUGACCAGGUAAACAACUGUGCACCGCACUCCACUGGACCCUUCCUUCCCUAUUCAGGUCCUGCUAAUCUUCAGCUGAAUUUCACCUCCACUCAUUCUCUUCUCUGCCACCAUUCUGAGUCACUGAAAUCUACAGGAAGUCAUGAAAUCAAGUAGUCUGGAUGAUUUGGGAUCCAUGCCACCCACUCACAACCUGGCUUCACCACUCCAGAGUAAUCUUUGAUUAACUCCCUAUAAUGCUCAUUUUUCCCAAUGACUUGGAUAAAGGUUAAAUGAUAUGUUUAUUCAUAUUGCACAUGAGAGAAAGGUAGGAGGUUUAGUCAGCUUGUUAGAUGAGAGAUUAAGAUCCAAAAAGAUCUUGACAGGAUAGAACAUAGGCUAAAUCUAUUAAAUUAGAUGUUUAUAGAUAAACACAUUUCGAAUCUUAAACUCUUCCCUUUAAUUAAAGUCUAAUAAGUUUCAUAUUAAGCCUCUAUUAAAUCAUAAUUGAGUCUACUGACUGAUUGGUAAAGGGAAUUGCCCUAGCAGAGGUUCCAAUGUUAGGAAGAUAGUCACUCCAAAGGUUACCUCCCCAUUACCAGAUAUGUGUGUAUGUAUUAUAUAUCUUAUAAAGUAGAGUAGUGAUAGUAUGUGCCUGGAGGGGAGAGAAGAGACAGACUUUCUUUUCAAAGAUAACCUUUCUGCUUGAAUUGCUAUGCAUGGGGAGCAGAGUUGGGAAGGUAGAGGAAUCCUAACUGACCUGAACAGAUUUAUCUGUAGGUCAAAGGAGAGAGACUUGCUGCAUCCUUUGAGAGGGGAAAGAUCUUUGAAGGCCAUCAAUUCAAAUUAUGUUAAAAAUUACUCAUCCCUUAAAAAUGAAUAAAAGAAACAAUUGAUAAAUUAUUCCUUAAAAA
ensembl:lncRNA